rnacentral:lncRNA from 1 species
AUAGAAAGAAAAAAAAAGAAUUUAUAUUCUGGGUUUUAUUGUUCACAGAGCGGUCAGAUGUUGUACAUGGACCCCGGGCAAUAAUCUCAUGUUGGAGCCCUGGAUUCCAAUGGUUUUUGGGAGUAGAUUUGUGAGAAAAGUGUGAAAAGGAAGUAAGAAGGAGGAUGUUUAUUUUUAAUAAAGAGACCCUGCCCUGACUUCCUGAACCAAAACCAGUCUAGACUUGUUUUUUUUUUCCAUUUUACACAAUGUCCGUAACAACAGAAUAAAUUUAUUAAAACCAAACAAACUGGGGGUUGAGUUUUGGCGCAGGAAAUCUGACAGAAAUAGAAUCAGCUGCUUCUGAGUUGAGUCUAGUGUUUGAUUUACAAACCAAAAGUGGAUGAAGACAGACUUAGCCUUCACUGAGCCAGUUCUUUUUGUUUUGAAGGCACGAUGCAGAAGUAACAUCUGUCCUAGUGUCCACGACAGGACCACCCUGAUAUUACCGCUCAACUUGCCUGAACCUUUGCUCUGUGUGGAACGAUACCCUAUGAAGAGGUGGAGAUGGAGGAAGAGGUAGAGACAGGCUACGAGAGUGUGCGAAAGUAGGAAGGGGUGCAGCACAGAAUGGGUAAUUACAAGCAAAAAUAGGAUCUGCCCAAGGUGGUGAGGAAGAAGAAGUGGAGAUGGGAAGGUAAGGCACUGGUAAAUCUGGACAUAUACGGAAGAAACAUGUAACCAAAAAUAUGAUAGGCUCCAAGACAUUUAAUUGCUGUAAAUAAACAUUAUUUAUGCCCAAAUUUAGAAUUAAAUCUAAGGUCCAUCUUUGCUAACUCAUGAUUUUCUGUUUAAAUCUUUUCCUUCUCUUCAUUAAGGAUAUAUUAUCAUCAUCAAAAUAUCUGACUUUGUAAAUACAUGAGAAAUUCAAGCCACUCCUCAAAUUUCUAGUGAACUGCGUAUUUGUACCACACUGGGGAAUCUGAUACCCGGGAGGUAAGAGAGUGAAGUCAAGAUUAUGUUUUCUGGGAUUUGAUCUUUUUCCUGAUACAUCUUUGCCUCGUGGUAGGUCGUCAAUAAAUGCUUGAAGAGACAGAUGAGUGUGAGAAGAAACUUUCUUGUAUUGCACUUGGAAAACUGCUCUAAAUCCUUUUGCAAGGACAACAGAGAUAUUUGUUUGCCUUCAACCUCAACUCAGCGAGUCCACUCCUUUUUUUCUCAAAUAAUCUCAUCCUUUCCUCAUUGUCUUGCAUGACGUUGGUGCAGUGAUUGAAGGAAGACCAUGUUCUAGGAAGGUGCAGUGAAUACCGUGGGAAGCUCACUUGUCACCCCCAAUUUCUGUAGAGCAGAAGCCCUCUGCCCUGGGCUGCUGAGUGUGUUGACAGUUGACCGCACUUAGCUGAGUCCCACCCACCCAUCUCCGGCAUGCUGCCCAUGAGCAUGAAUUUUUCCUAUUUGUUGACCUCAUGGUAAGAUCAAUGCUCAGUGUAAAAGCCCAGCCCCACUCUCCGAUUUGGCACAAUUUGGAUAUCUCAGCACCAAUAUGCUAAUGGGAUAAUCUGAGCCAUGACUGUGGCUGACACAGCCCAACUUCUCUGCUUUCUUACAGGUCCCAGGAGUACUCUCCAAGAAACUUCCUACCAGGCAGUUUAGCCUCAUGAUCCUCUUCCUGGGAAACAACACCUGUUUGCUAUUUUUAAAAAAACUCUUACUUUACCAUAGCUUGAAUUAUGUUAGAUACGUUCUAGAGUUUAUUCCUUAAGCCCAGGUUAAUGCUGUUUCACCAUAUUAAGACCAGAGGGCCUAAUGUGGAAAUUGAACCUGCUAUUAAGGCUUAGUGUGAUUAUUUAGAUAAGUUAAAUUCCACACACCUUUUUAUAUCCUGGGGAAGUAGCUUGCCCCUAACUUCACUCACCCACACUCUAACAUGACUCAGCUUUUUAAACCCACAGAAACAGUGGCCUGUGGUUCCACAACAGGAAGAAAACAAUGACC